rnacentral:lncRNA from 1 species
AUGUCAGGCAUAUGUCUUCUUUCAUCAGGUAAUGGAGGCUGGGACUCUACACUGAGCUUCAGAAGUUCUGCCAAGAGUGAAGUCAUUGUCACACUUCCCAAUUGUUUUGAUUCAUUCGAUGUCCCUUGUACAUUGGAAGCAGUUUGUCAGCAUUGUGAAAUGGUUGGUGUGAUACUGACGGCUUGUCAGAGGCAUUCUGCAGACACAAGAGUUACAUGUUGAUCCAAAGAGCUGCCUUUUAUCCUCAGCAUUACAUGAAUGGAAGUCUGCUUAGGAGCCAAACCAACUAGUGGCUGAAAGUGAAAUCUCAGAUAGUGGAAAAAGUCCUGUGAUUUGAGGCUUUGAGAUAAAAGAAAGACUUCCACCCCAACAGAUAUCAGGGGUGAAUCUGCCACCUGGAAAAGUGGCUUGAGAAGGAAAGGAAGGAGGUACAGCUAAUUCAUGAAUUUCAUUCAGAUUAGAACAUUUCCAACUAUAAUUAAAAGUUCAUCCAAAAUCACACCCUUCAUUUUAUUGUACUAUUUAAUUGCUUGCUGCAGCAACUUAUAUGAAUCAGUCAUGAUAAUGAUAAGCGGUUCAAUUACCUGUAAACCCAGUACUUGCUCUCUUUGCUUUGUAAGAUAAAGCCUCUCCAGUGCUAAUAUGAGAUCCAAGCUGUGUCUCAAAGUCUCACACAUCUUUAAUGGACUGCAGUGUACUGACAAUUAAUUAUCGGCAAGGGAGAAAGUGUAGUCAAGCUGAAUGCAAAUGCCCACCAAAUUGCAGUCCAAAGAUACCAUAAUAACAUCUUUCAUGACGGGGUUACCCGUGAUUACUUAGUAUCACAGGUACAAUCAACUCAGUCCAUUAUUGCUAAAGUAUAUCAUAAAGCAGAAGUGUGAUUAUAUUCAUAGAAAAAUCAGUGGGAGAAGUAAUUUUUUUUUUUUCCCCCACAGGCAUGUCCCAUAUCAGUGAGAAUUUAUAACAUAUCACUCUUAGAAAGCAAGUAAAUAAUUAAGGAACCUGAAUCAGAAGAUCUACAAACGUAAAAACACUUUAGGCAUUUUUUCUCCUUCCUAGUCUUAUGGACAAAAAUGAUCUGAUGAGUCCCUAGGGUAACUGCACCAGAUUCCUAAAGAUACACAAAAGAUAAUAUUGCUCAGUAUGCGGAGGUGGCAAAACUAAAAAUGAGCUGCUCUGAAAGUCAGUCAGUUUGCAAACCACCAAGGUGUAAGCUUUAACUAUCAUUUAUUCAGUGUCCUGGUGUUUGGUAAACUCUGUGUGAACAGGUUUCACCUUCCUACUCAGCUUCUGCUUACCAAUAAAUGAAGUACAAAGUUCUGAAAUUGCCCUUCU